UCCGGAAAGGGACGCCCGCAAAGGGUAGCGAGCGGUAGGGGAGCUGUUGCUGCUAAUAUGGCGGCUCCGAGGUGGUGGGCGGCGACUGCUGAGCGGGAAGCAGUUUGCGGAGCAAAAGGAAGGUGGGGAGGAGAAGAGAGAGAGGCGUGGAAUCAGCGGAACUCUGAGCCAGAGGCCAUCAUCAUCUGGAACCUCUCCGGGCACCUCGGUCCAGCAGGGCGCUGUAAGAAUGAGAUUGAAGGCGGAGCCGGGUUUCUGGACUGAGAAGGAAUAGCCCUGGAACCUUCAUGUCCGUCCCCUUCCGUGUGUUACUCUGGCGAGUUACCCUGGGAAUCCUGCAUCUGGUGCCCGCGUAUCCCCAGUCCUCCAUUGCAGGGCAUUUUGGAGAGCCAGCGGGAAAGGCCUCUGGUGGACUGAGAGAAGACAUGUCCUUACACCGGUCCCCAUACUUGACACACAGUAGACAGUCAUUGCAUGUUUAAUUUUUUUAAAGUCCCAAACCUUGAGUUCUACUUGUUGACUUGACAGUGUCAAGCUUGGAGACUAAUGUUAUUAUUUCCCCCUUUCAACUCAGGAAAGGGAAAUAAGAGGUGUAUAAAAGUUUUGAGAAACUCAGUGCAUGUUUAAUGAGACUUUAAUGUGAUAAAUCCCUUCAUUCUGUUCUAGAAACUUCCAUGGCCAAGUGGGUCAAAUAUAAACUGUUUGUCACAACACCUUAUUGGAACUUUUAAAAAUAUAUUUAUUUUGGGCGGGGAUAGAUAGCAUAAUAGUUAUGUAAAAAGACUCAUUCCUGAGGCUCCAAAGUCCCAGGUUCAAUCCCCCGCACCACCAUAAACCAGAGCUGAAUAGUGCUCUGAAAAAAAAAACUAUUAAAAAAUAUUGCUAGGACAGAGAGAAAUUGAGAGAAAGAAGAUAGUGAGAAGGACAUCUGCAGACCUGCUUCAAUACCCAAAAAACUUUCUCCUAACAGAUAGAGAGUGAGAGACAGAGUACACUGAGGAGAGAUACCACAGCGACAUUCCAGGACUUGUGAAGCUUCCCUUUACAUGGUGCUCCCAUGUUGAGCCUGUAGACUCAAACCAGGAUCUGGAGGCAUGGUAAAGUGUACACUCUGCUGGUUAGGUUUAUUGCUGGAACUUGGUGCCUACAUAACUUCAUUUCCAUUGGCCAUUGUUUGACAGAGGUUUAGAGACACAUGGAGACAGAGAAGCGGAGACAUUUGCAGGAUUGCUCCACCAUGAGUGAAAUUUCCAUCAUUACAAGUGGGGACUGGAGUCUUGAACUUGGAUUCUCACACAAGCUCUCUCUUCCCACUGUCCCCCCGACAACAACCAUUCUUCCAUAUUGUGGAAGAAGGAAGAUUCUGGGACCACUUGAAAGACAUGGUGUAAGUAUGUUUGUCAAUACAAGACUCCUUUCGAUCCCCCACUGAAUCAGAAGUUAUGCUUUCCUUUUUAUUUCUCCAUUCCUGUAGUUUUUUUGUG